rfam:Ciona savignyi cont_36273, whole genome shotgun sequence.
UCUCGGGCUUGGUUAGUACUUGGAUGGGUGACCGCUUGGGAAUACCAAGUGUGAUAAGCA